rnacentral:rRNA from 2 species
AAGUGCAAUCAUACCAGCACUAAUGCACUAGGUGCCGUCAAAACUCCGCAUUUAAGCGUACUUGGGCGAGAGUACUACCAGUAUAGGUGACCUCCUAGGAAGUCCUCGUGUUGCACUUU